UACGUAGGGUGCGAGCGUUAAUCGGAAUUACUGGGCGUAAAGCGUGCGCAGGCGGUUUGUUAAGCCAGAUGUGAAAGCCCCGGGCUCAACCUGGGAACUGCGUUUGGUACUGGCAAGCUAGAGUACGGCAGAGGGGGGUAGAAUUCCACGUGUAGCAGUGAAAUGCGUAGAGAUGUGGAGGAAUACCGAUGGCGAAGGCAGCCCCCUGGGAUGAUACUGACGCUCAUGCACGAAAGCGUGGGGAGCAAACAGG
rnacentral:rRNA from 1 species